rnacentral:rRNA from 1 species
CACGUAGGGCGCAAGCGUUGUCCGGAAUUAUUGGGCGUAAAGAGCUCGUAGGCGGUCUGUUACGUCUGCUGUGAAAACCCGGAGCUUAACCCUGGGCUUGCAGUGGAUACGGGCAGACUAGAGGCAGGUAGGGGAGAAUGGAAUUCCCGGUGUAGCGGUGAAAUGCGCAGAUAUCGGGAGGAACACCAGUGGCGAAGGCGACUACCUGGCCUGUUCUUGACGCUGAGGCGCGAAAGCUAGGGGAGCAAACGGG